UUUUUUUUUUUGUCUUUUUAGUGCCACACCCUCAGCAUAUGGAGGUUCCCAGGCUAGGGGUCUACUGGAGCUGUUGCCGCCGGCCUAUGCCAGAGUCACAGCAAUGCCAGAUCCGAGCCAUAUCUGCGACCUACACCAUAGCUCAUGGCAACACCAGAUCCUUAACUCACUGAGCAAGGCCAGGGAUCGAACCUGCAACCUCAUGGUUCCUAGUUGGAUUCGUUUCCGCUGCGCCACGACAGGAACUCCCAAGAAAGAGCUUUUUAAGUUAAACCUUUAAUAUGAAAUGCAUGAAAAAAAAGAUUCUUUUAUGAAAGGCAAAAUCACCUGAGCUUUCAUCUGUGCUAAAUGGGAAGCUGCUGAAAUUUUACAAGAAAAGGAACAUGGAGAAAGCUUUGUCUGAGGAUGAGACAGUGAAGGGAGGUGAACCAAGGGGUGGGUCCGGUUGGGUCCUGCCAGGAAGGACAAGGCCCAGAGCCCGGAAGCCUCCCACUGGAAAGGGGGGAGAACUACCUGCUGCAAAUUCCAGGGAAGGCCCAGCCACAAGCAGGUACAGGUGCUCUUCCCCUUCCAUACUCUUCUGUCCUUGCUAUUAUUUAGCUAUAGUUCCUUCAGUAUUCUGCCAAGAAUUUGGAAAGCUCCCCAGAACGAAACUUUCUCUUUAGUGUUUCCCCAGGAUUCAAAUGAAGGGUUUUUCCAACCUAAAGCCUUUCUCCAAGAAGGCAGAGCAUAAGUAAAUCAGUAGUUAAGUGUUUUAACAAGGCAGCGCUGCUUCCACCUCCAUGUGUGCAUCAAAUGAGGUCCCCAUUUUACUCAAAACAGAUGAUCCUGUCCCUGGGUCCAGGCCACCCAUCAUGAGGACACCCAGGCAGCACAUCAGAAGAGAAGGGCGAUGGGCUACAAGGAAGCCAGCAUUUUUGAAUAACCAUCAAAGGCAUUACUUGAGUGGACUGGGGCUAAGGGCCGACAAGGAAGGAUGGAGGGAAACUGUGAGGCUGGUGACUGAGCGCUGACUCCCUGCGGGCGGCACCUUGGGGGAGAGCCUAGCUGGAACAGAACUGGGCAGCACGCUCCCGGGAGGAAAGCACUUUGAACGUUCUGUCUUCAGCGGAGCACGCAGAACUAACCAGAUGACAGACAAACAGAAGGCACAAGAUACAAGAGAAAGAGAAAUAGCAGCCAAAUUUUCAGAAAUCAAGAGAUUAGCAAGAUAACUGUGCUCCAUCUUCUGCCUGCUCUCCUCACACCUGCACAGACUUGUUCACUUUUACGUUUAAAAAAGCACCUAUGUGGACCUGGCCCAAGACUAAGCAGGUCUGUGGGCCUGGGGGAGAUGUGGAGCCAAACUGCCUGAUUUGGGCCCCAUCAUCUGUCAGCGAUGGGCCAUCAGGCAAAUCAGCCCACCCUACUCCACCCCACCCCUGACACUUCAAAUAAUUUGCCACAUUUCCUUUACCCUUCUCUAUGUCUUUACAUACUUAUUUUUCUUCUGAUCCCUUUGAGAGGAAAUCAGGCACAAUAGGUCCCUAACAGGUCAGUGUGCUUCCUGAGAAUAAGGGCAUCUUCUUACAUAAGCACAGAUCAGUCAUCAGGUUCAGGACACUCGGCCUUGACACUUCCAUCCAGUCCAUCGUCAGUUGUCUUGGUCAGAACCUUGGGGCCGGGGGCCCUACUACACUACCUCCCAGGUCCCUUCCUCCUCGCACCUGUGAGAGGUCCCCGCCUUCCUAUCUUUCUCGAAUUGACAUUUCUGAGGUACACUCGCCAACUUAACUUUUCCUGUAAAAGAGAAGAUAAUAAUAGUCCCUAUUUCUGGAGUUCCCGUCGUGGCGCAGUGGAAACGAAUCUGACUAGGAACCAUGAGGUUGCGGGUUCAAUCUCUGGGCUUGUUCAGUGGGUUAAGGAUCUGGUGUUGCUGUGGCUGUGGUGGAGGCCGGCAGCUGUAGCUCCGAUCAGACACCUAGCCUGGAACCUCCAUAUGCCGCAAGUGCGGCCCUAAAAAGACAAAAAGAUCAAAAAAAAAAAAAAGUCCUUAUUUCUGAGGGGUGUGAGGAUAAACAAGGUAACAUGUGGACUGCUCUGAACUGGGGCUGGACCUGGUGAGGGAUGUGGCAGGCAAACACCCAUGGGAAACACAGCCUUUGCUGCACCCCACAAGGGGAAAGAGACUUCAGGACAAUCCAGGUGGCGACAGGGGACCCUGCCUGGGGCCACGCAGGGUUGGGGGAGGCCACCAGAAGGAAGUGGGGGCCCCAGGCCCAGGAUGGCAGUGAGGAUACAGCAGGGAUCAGUGCACUGGCAGAGGUGAUGGGGGGACGGGAGAUGGCCAAGCUUCACUCGGACCUGGCCUGGCCCCCGGCCCCCAGCAUUCCAUGAUCAGUCAGCGGGGGCCGCACACCGCCCCCCGACUCUGCCCUUCCCUUCCUACCAUACCUACCUUUCUAAGCAGGCUCCCGAGAAAGGCAUUCACACGCUGACUCCCCCCAGCACCCUCCUGGACCCUUAUUAAACCUGCACCCCCAAAGUCCUGCCCCUAGGAGCCCCUCCUGCUUCUCCCCAAAUUCACCAGGGGUGCAGCCGCCACCCGCUGCACCCUCUGGGCAGGCAGGGGGUCCUCUUCUUCCCCAGCCCUUCUUGCCUCUGUAGGCAGCAGGGGACAGGUCACCAUACAGAGCACUGCUCAAAAGCCAGAAUGACCCUCUGGCCUCCUGUACUACUCCUCUCAGGAUUAGAGAGACAGCCUCCCAGAUACUUGAAAGAUGCCUGGAGCUCAAUGACAAUCCGGGAGGAACCAAACACCUAAGUGCCUAUACAUCAUCAAUCACCAAAAACUGACCCUGUCAGCUGAUUUCCCAUCUGGGGUCAGGAGGCUGUACAGGCAGCUUGGUGGAGGUUAUGGGAGUCUGAGGUGUGUCAACCUUCAGCCACGGCAUCACUACCUAAGAAGAGAUGGAGCUGGGGCCAGUUCUUGGUCCCUGGUCACCCCAACCCAACUUGGCAGUUAGAAAGUGGUCUCGGAGUUUCCAUCGUGGCUCAGCAGAAACCAAUCUGAUUAGCUUCCAAGAGGACACAGGUUUGAUCCCUGGCCUUGCCCAGUGGGUUAAGGAUCUGGUGUCCUGAGCUGUGGUGAAGGUCACAGAUGUGGCUUGGAUCCUGCGUUGCUGUAGCUGCGGCACAGGCCAGCAGCUACAGCUCCAAUUCAACCCCUAGCCUGAGAACUUCCAUAUGCUGCGAGUGCGGCCCUAAAAAGACCAAAAAACAAACAAACAAACAAACAAAGUGGUCUUAUUUACUGCUUGAAAGUGCAUCAACAGAGACACCUAUCUAAUUCCAGAAGCUUCACCCUGGCCCACAUCCCACACUUUGUUCAGACUCCAGCACAUAUGCAUUCCUGAAUGUUGAAACACAUUUUUCCUGAUGAAGUGUACUAUGCACUAUUAGAGAUAGUCUAACAUACAAGCUUUAAAUUACCUGGUUUCACAUUCACACCUAAUGAGAUUACAGACAUUUUAGGACUAAUAGCAGCGCUGGGUUUGAAAAAGGCAGCAGUGGGAUAUUAUGAAAAAUUCAGCUCUGCUCCCUAAAUGUGAAUAAAAUAGAUGUUCAACUGACAAAGUGUCCUUUACGGCUCAAUUUUUGCUCCUUUUGCAUUUCCCCUGCUCGGUCGUCAGUAAAUUUCUCUUUACCAUAUUAAAUUUUUAUACAUACAAAUCUAUAUCACAGCUGCAGGCACUGAUUUCGAUUUUCCAAAUUGAAUUUUGGGUGGUGAUAGCAAAUGGUACAUCGGCCCCUAUUCUAGUCACACAAAGGGACGUAUGAGCACUUUUGGCAAAGGGUGUCGCAAACUGCUUUGUUAAUUAAGGUAGAGUUGGAUCUGGUCCAGGAAAAUCUACGAAAGGUUUUAUGACUUGGUAAUGAACUUCUGGGGCUUCUACUCCAACAAUGGGGAGCAGACCCUGCCCCUGACAGGGCUGUGACAACCACAGAGCACAGAGGAGGUCUUGCUCAAAAUCCAGUGCAGGCUCUGGUCACCACACCACCAGCCACACACCCCCUUCAAGGGGACAACGGCCAACACACCCUGAGGAAAGAUGUGGCAGCAUCCCUACCAAAAAUAGCCCUUGCACCCAAAAUAUCAGACACAGGGAGGGUCCCACAUAGAAACUGCUUUCCAAGAACACAGUAGCUAACUGUUUCUCCUAAAGCCACAGAGUCAGAGAAAUAUAAGUAAAAUGAAAAAGCAGAGGAACUACUCCCAAUUAAAGAACAAGAGAGGAGUUCCCAUGGUGGCGGAGUGGUUAACGAAUCCAACUAGGAACCAUGAGGUUGCGGGUUCGAUCCCUGGCCUCACUCAGUGGGUUAAUGAUCCGGUGUUGCCAUGAGCUGUGGCGUAGGUCGCAGACAUGGCUUGGAUCCCGCGUUGCUGUUGCUCUGGCAUAGGCCGGUGGCUACAGCUCUGAUUUGACCCCUAGCCCUGGGAACUUCUAUAUGCCAUGAGUGUGGCCCUAAAAAGCAAUAAAUAAAUAAUUAAAUAAAUAAGUAAGUAAAAUGGCAAAAGUUAAAAGAGGGGAUUCUAAAGGUAUCAAGAAAAAAACAGAGUUACUUACAAGGGAACCCCUAUAAGGCUGGCUAUCAACUCAUUUCUCUAUAGAAAUAUUGCUGGCCAGGAGUUCCUGUGACGGCACAGCAGAAACAAGUAUGACUAGGAACCAUAAGGUUGUGGGUUUGAUCCUUUGCCUCACUCAGUGGGUUAAGGAUCCAGUGUUGCCAUGAGCAGUGGUGUAGAUCACAGAUGUGGCUUGGAUCUGGCAUUGCUGUGGCUGUGGUGCAGGCCAGCAGUUGUAGCUCCAAUUAGACCCCUAGCC
rnacentral:lncRNA from 1 species